GGACCCGCACAAGCGGUGGAGCAUGUGGUUUAAUUCGAUGAUAAGCGAAGAACCUCACCAAGGUUUGACAUGUAGCUGCAAGGUCUGGAAACAGAUCCGCCUUCGAGGGUGCUACACAGAUGCUGCAUGGUUGUCGUCAGCUCGUGUCGUGAGAUGUACCGUUAAGUCGGGAAACGAGCGCAACCCUUUUCUUAUGUUUUAUAUGUCAUAAGAUACUGCCCGUUUUAAAUGGGAGGAAGGUGGGAUGACGUCAAAUCAGCAUGGUUCUUACACCUUGGGCAACACACGUGCUACAAUGGAAAGUACAAAGGGACGCCAAAGCGCGAGCUGGAGCAAACCCCUUAAAACUUUUCUCAGUUCGGAUUGGAGUCUGCAACUCGACUCCAUGAAGCUGGAAUCGCUAGUAAUCGUGAAUCAGCUAUGUCACGGUGAAUACGUUCUCGGGUCUU
rnacentral:rRNA from 1 species